CGUCGCCGCGGGAAUACGUAGGUGGCAAGCGUUGUCCGGAAUUAUUGGGCGUAAAGGGCUCGCAGGCGGUUUCUUAAGUCUGAUGUGAAAGCCCCCGGCUCAACCGGGGAGGGUCAUUGGAAACUGGGAAACUUGAGUGCAGAAGAGGAGAGUGGUAUUCCACGUGUAGCGGUGAAAUGCGUAGAGAUGUGGAGGAACACCAGUGGCGAAGGCGACUCUCUGGUCUGUAACUGACGCUGAGGAGCGAAAGCGUGGGGAGCGAACAGGAUUAGAUACCCCGGUAGUCCCUGUCUCUUAUACA
rnacentral:rRNA from 1 species